rnacentral:ncRNA from 1 species
UUGUAAUAUUUAAAUAAUAUUAUUAAGAAUAAUGUGCAUUUUUUCCAUAUAAGGACAUUGUAAUCUAUUAGCAUAUCCCAAAUUUAUCAUAAAAUAUAACUUAUAGUUUAUUCCAAUUAAAUUGCUUGCAUUUUAACACAGAAUAAAUGUUAUUAAUUUGAUAAAGUGCUGAUAGAUUUAUAUUAUUACAGAGCGUUAAUUUUUCGGAAUUAUAUAAUGGCAUAAUUAUCAUUGAUUUUUGUGUUUAUUAUAUGCUCUUGUAUGAUUAACAAUGCGAAAGAUUCAGGAUACCUUCGGGACCCGUCUUGAAACACGGACCAAGGAGUCUAACAUAUGUGCAAGUUAUUGGGAUGUAAACCUAAUAGCGUAAUUAACUUGACUAAUAAUGGGAUUAGUUUUUUAGCUAUUUAUAGCUAAUUAACACAAUCCCGGGGCGUUCUAUAUAGUUAUGUAUAAUGUAUAUUUAUAUUAUUUAUGCCUCUAACUGGAACGUACCUUGAGCAUAUAUGCUGUGACCCGAAAGAUGGUGAACUAUACUUGAUCAGGUUGAAGUCAGGGGAAACCCUGAUGGAAGACCGAAACAGUUCUGACGUGCAAAUCGAUUGUCAGAAUUGAGUAUAGGGGCGAAAGACCAAUCGAACCAUCUAGUAGCUGGUUCCUUCCGAAGUUUCCCUCAGGAUAGCUGGUGCAUUUUAAUAUUAUAUAAAAUAAUCUUAUCUGGUAAAGCGAAUGAUUAGAGGCCUUAGGGUCGAAACGAUCUUAACCUAUUCUCAAACUUUAAAUGGGUAAGAACCUUAACUUUCUUGAUAUGAAGUUCAAGGUUAUGAUAUAAUGUGCCCAGUGGGCCACUUUUGGUAAGCAGAACUGGCGCUGUGGGAUGAACCAAACGUAAUGUUACGGUGCCCAAAUUAACAACUCAUGCAGAUACCAUGAAAGGCGUUGGUUGCUUAAAACAGCAGGACGGUGAUCAUGGAAGUCGAAAUCCGCUAAGGAGUGUGUAACAACUCACCUGCCGAAGCAACUAGCCCUUAAAAUGGAUGGCGCUUAAGUUGUAUACCUAUACAUUACCGCUAAAGUAGAUGAUUUAUAUUACUUGUGAUAUAAAUUUUGAAACUUUAGUGAGUAGGAAGGUACAAUGGUAUGCGUAGAAGUGUUUGGCGUAAGCCUGCAUGGAGCUGCCAUUGGUACAGAUCUUGGUGGUAGUAGCAAAUAAUCGAAUGAGACCUUGGAGGACUGAAGUGGAGAAGGGUUUCGUGUGAACAGUGGUUGAUCACGAGUUAGUCGGUCCUAAGUUCAAGGCGAAAGCCGAAAAUUUUCAAGUAAAACAAAAAUGCCUAACUAUAUAAACAAAGCGAAUAUAUACACUUGAAUAAUUUUGAACGAAAGGGAAUACGGUUCCAAUUCCGUAACCUGUUGAGUAUCCGUUUGUUAUUAAAUAUGGGCCUCGUGCUCAUCCUGGCAACAGGAACGACCAUAAAGAAGCCGUCGAGAGAUAUCGGAAGAGUUUUCUUUUCUGUUUUAUAGCCGUACUACCAUGGAAGUCUUUCGCAGAGAGAUAUGGUAGAUGGGCUAGAAGAGCAUGACAUAUACUGUUGUGUCGAUAUUUUCUCCUCGGACCUUGAAAAUUUAUGGUGGGGACACGCAAACUUCUCAACAGGCCGUACCAAUAUCCGCAGCUGGUCUCCAAGGUGAAGAGUCUCUAGUCGAUAGAAUAAUGUAGGUAAGGGAAGUCGGCAAAUUAGAUCCGUAACUUCGGGAUAAGGAUUGGCUCUGAAGAUUGAGAUAGUCGGGCUUGAUUGGGAAACAAUAACAUGGUUUAUGUGCUCGUUCUGGGUAAAUAGAGUUUCUAGCAUUUAUGUUAGUUACUUGUUCCCCGGAUAGUUUAGUUACGUAGCCAAUUGUGGAACUUUCUUGCUAAAAUUUUUAAGAAUACUAUUUGGGUUAAACCAAUUAGUUCUUAUCAAUUAUAACGAUUAUCAAUUAACAAUCAAUUCAGAACUGGCACGGACUUGGGGAAUCCGACUGUCUAAUUAAAACAAAGCAUUGUGAUGGCCCUAGCGGGUGUUGACACAAUGUGAUUUCUGCCCAGUGCUCUGAAUGUCAAAGUGAAGAAAUUCAAGUAAGCGCGGGUCAACGGCGGGAGUAACUAUGACUCUCUUAAGGUA